UACGGAGGGUGCGAGCGUUAUCCGGAAUUACUGGGUUUAAAGGGUGCGUAGGCGGCCGGGUAAGUCAGGAGUGAAAGUUUGCGGCUCAACCGUAAAAUUGCUUUUGAUACUGCCGGGCUAGAAUUAGGAUGAGGUCAGCGGAAUGUGGCAUGUAGCGGUGAAAUGCAUAGAUAUGCCAUAGAACACCAAUUGCGAAGGCAGCUGGCUAGACCUGGAUUGACGCUGAGGCACGAAAGCGUGGGGAGCGAACAGG
rnacentral:rRNA from 1 species